GCGGAUGUAGCCAAGUGGAUCAAGGCAGUGGAUUGGGAA
rnacentral:tRNA from 1 species